rnacentral:rRNA from 1 species
UACGUAGGGUGCGAGCGUUAAUCGGAAUUACUGGGCGUAAAGCGUGCGUAGGCGGUCCGCGAAGUCUGAUGUGAAAGCCCCGGGCUCAACCUGGGAACUGCAUUGGAAACUAACGGGCUCGAGUGUGGCAGAGGGGGUGGAAUUCCACGUGUAGCAGUGAAAUGCGUAGAGAUGUGGAGGAACACCGAUGGCGAAGGCAGCCCCCUGGGCUAACACUGACGCUCAGGCACGAAAGCGUGGGGAGCAAACAGG